rnacentral:snoRNA from 1 species
AUGAAAGAGGCCGUCGCUUCUGAUAGAUGAUGACUAUGUUAUAGUCUC